rnacentral:rRNA from 1 species
AGAGUUUGAUCCUGGCUCAGAGUGAACGCUGGCGGCGUGCUUAACACAUGCAAGUCGAACGAGAACGGAUUAUAGCUUGCUAUAAUUGUCAGCUAAGUGGCGCACGGGUGAGUAAUAUAUAGAUAACCUGCCCUCAAGAAAGGAAUAACAGUUGGAAACGACUGCUAAUGCCCUAUAUGCCUUUAAUACAUAAGUAUGCAAGGGAAACGCUUUAGUGCUUGAGGAUGGGUCUGUAUGGUAUCAGCUUGUUGGUGAGGUAAUGGCUCACCAAGGCUAUGACGCCUAACUGGUUUGAGAGGAUGAUCAGUCACACUGGAACUGAGACACGGUCCAGACUCCUACGGGAGGCAGCAGUGGGGAAUAUUGCACAAUGGACGAAAGUCUGAUGCAGCAACGCCGCGUGGAGGAUGACACAUUUCGGUGCGUAAACUCCUUUUAUAUAGGAAGAUAAUGACGGUACUAUAUGAAUAAGCACCGGCUAACUCCGUGCCAGCAGCUGCGGUAAUACGGAGGGUGCAAGCGUUACUCGGAAUCACUGGGCGUAAAGAGCGUGUAGGCGGGUAUAUAAGUCAGAAGUGAAAUCCAAUAGCUUAACUAUUGAACUGCUUUUGAAACUGUAUACCUAGAAUGUGGGAGAGGUAGAUGGAAUUUCUGGUGUAGGGGUAAAAUCCGUAGAGAUCAGAAGGAAUACCGAUUGCGAAGGCGAUCUACUGGAACAUUAUUGACGCUGAGACGCGAAAGCGUGGGGAGCAAACAGGAUUAGAUACCCUGGUAGUCCACGCCCUAAACGAUGCACACUAGUUGUUGUGAGGCUCGAC